UACGGGGGGGCAAGCGUUGUUCGGAAUUACUGGGCGUAAAGGGCGCGUAGGCGGUCUUGUAAGUCCCGCGUGAAAUCCCCCGGCUCAACUGGGGAACUGCGUGGGAAACUGCGAGGCUUGAGUUCGGGAGAGGGAAGCGGAAUUCCGGGUGUAGCGGUGAAAUGCGUAGAUAUCCGGAGGAACACCGGUGGCGAAGGCGGCUUCCUGGACCGACACUGACGCUGAGGCGCGAAAGCUAGGGGAGCAAACGGG
rnacentral:rRNA from 1 species